AUCCAGACAAUGGCAGAGAGCAGAAAGACCAUUGCCCUGUGCUUGGAAAGAUGGUGGAGUGGUGAGCAGCUGAGAGGGUCUUCCCGAGGCUUGGUGUUGAGAAUUGAAGCCUCUCAGGAGAGUGAAGGAGCCAUGGUGGUAAAGACGCAGCAGGCUACAACGGGUUCACUCCAGGACCCAUGAUGGGGUGGUAGAAGGUGGCAGAGACCUCAGACCCUGUGCUGGCAAAGAAGCCAUGUCCCUGAUAUUGGGAGGCCAAUGUGGACAGGGGUCAGGGUGACUCUCACUUCUGUAUGAGCCGGGUGUGGCAGCAGGGACUAUAAUCCUACCACUUGGACAGCUCAGGAAGGAGCAUUGCUGUGAGUUCAAGCCCAGCCUGAACUACAUAAUGAAACCUAGACUGAAGAAAACCAAACAAACAAAUAAAUGCAUGCUACAACAUUUGAGGCAUUUAUUGAGGAGAGCACCCCAUUCUAUCUGUGCCAUAGGAAUAUUUGGAGAACCAAAUAAGGCAAAGAAGGUGUGGAACCUUAGAAAGUGACAAUGCCUGAUCCAAAACCAAUGCUGGCCUCAGCAUUUGUGUGGGCCACUAGAAGCACCAGUGGCAGCGUUUCCCAAACACACCUAGAGGACCCGAUCUCCAGAUCACCCUGGGCAUCUCCAUCUGCUGCAGAUUAACCCACUUGGGAAUGUCUUGAACAACAUUCUUUCCUCUUGAGUUUUAAGAAGUGAAUUAAGCUUCUUUUAACAAUUCCACUCACUAUAAUUAAUCAGUGUAAUGCAGCAGACCAGCACGGGGAAAGCUUUUCUAGAUUUCAGUUGGAAACUUUUCUUGAUCUUUUCCUUUCUGUGUCUCUUUUUAAAGAUUCUGUCAUCUCAUAAUCUUUUUGUGCCUUUUACUUUUUAAUUAAUGCAUGCCCAUGACACAUCAUGAUCACAGGAUAAUCUGCUCUGGGGAAUCAGGACACACAUGUCAGAUCAUUUUUAUCCCCUUUCUCCCUCACCCAACUCUGCCUCCUCCCCAGAUCCUUCUCUAUCUCCAAAAAGCCGACCUCCCUGUUUCUUUUCACCUUUCUAGGCUUAAGUAAUUUUUAAAAUGAGUUCUUCAGAAUUUUUGUUAGACUGAGGUCCAGGGUUCAGAAACUCAGUUAUCCCUUGAGCCGAGCCAUGAAUUGCAGAGCAAUGAAGGUAUUUAGUAUCAUUUCCAAGCAGUGAAAUGUGGGAAAAGGAGAGAUUUAAAAUAGAGAUAUUGGCUGGGGAGGUAGCUUGGUGGCACAGGGCAUGCUCAGCAUGUGCAAGGCCCUUGUUUCUAUCCCCAGCACCUUAAAAGAAACACAAAAUAGACACAUUACCUGGAAAGUAAAGCAACUUUUU
rnacentral:lncRNA from 1 species